rnacentral:rRNA from 1 species
AACCAGCACCCUCGAGUGGUCAGGAGGUUUAUUGGGCCUAAAGCAUCCGUAGCCGGUUGCAUAAGUUUUCGGUUAAAUCUAUGCGCUUAACGUAUAGGCCGCCGAAAAUACUGUGCAGCUAGGGAGUGGGAGAGGUACACGGUACUCGAUAGGAAGGGGUAAAAUCCUUUGAUCUAUUGAUGACCACCUGUGGCGAAGGCGGUGUACCAGAACACGUUCGACGGUGAGGGAUGAAAGCUGGGGGAGCAAACCGGAUUAGAAACCCUAGUAGU